GGGAUUGAGACGAAAAUCUUCACGACCAUAAUUAAAGAUAAGUUAGGUAAGGUAGCUGGUAAAGGCCGUUGAGUCUUCAGUGGUCUGGGGACAAGUAAGAUGAUUACAUGAAUCUUAAUUUUUUUAAAUGGAAACAUCGCUUUUAAAUGUUGGUUAAAUGUUGGCAAUAAUAUAAAUAAAUAUUUACGAAAUGAACUUACAUGAAAAUAGUUUUAUAACCAUUAAGCUUGUUAAGUAAAGGAGAAAUACAUUUUUAUAGGUUUUAUUAUCUGUGGAUUUUACAAUGAUUCACAGUUUGUUUAUCAUCAACCAUUCAGGGUUUAGUAUAUGUAGAUAUCACAAUGAUUCACAGUUUGUUUAUCAUCAACGCUUCAAUGCUCUUGUUGGUUUGUUAGUUUACACCGAUCAUUUAUGC